rnacentral:lncRNA from 1 species
CAAGCAAACAGGCUGCUCUGAUUCUGGUGCUGCUGCUUCUCCUCCAAUAGAGGAUUCUCAAAAGGAGCGACAAGUCAUUUCAUCUUACACAACCACUCCAACCCAUUGAUACCGCCUGCCUCCAACACUGUUGACAAGGAUUCCAGGGAUGCAUCUGGACUCUGAAGAAGUGCUGUGAUUGAACAGUGCUGCCUGCUGAAAGUAUGGUACUAUCUUGUCUGAUGAAAUGAAUUAGGUUU